GCCGCGUGAAGGAAGAAGGUUCUAUGGAUUGUAAACUUCUUUUAUUUGGGAAGAAACCUUUCUACGUGUAGAGAGCUGACGGUACCAAACGAAUAAGGACCGGCUAACUCCGUGCCAGCAGCCGCGGUAAUACGGAGGGUCCAAGCGUUAUCCGGAAUCAUUGGGUUUAAAGGGUGCGCAGGCGGUUUAUUAAGUCAGUGGUGAAAUCUCGAGGCUCAACCUCGAAACUGCCAUUGAUACUGAUAAACUUGAGUUCAGUUGGAGUAGGCGGAAUGUGUAGUGUAGCGGUGAAAUGCUUAGAUAUUACACAGAACACCGAUAGCGAAGGCAGCUUACUAAACUGAUACUGACGCUGAGGCACGAAAGCGUGGGGAGCGAACAGGAUUAGAUACCCUGGUAGUCCACGCCGUAAACUAUGAUUACUCGAUAUUGGCGAUAUACAGUCAGUGUCUAAGCGAAAGUGAUAAGUAAUCCACCUGGGGAGUACGGUCGCAAGAUUG
rnacentral:rRNA from 1 species